UACGGAGGGUGCAAGCGUUAUCCGGAUUCACUGGGUUUAAAGGGUGCGUAGGCGGACUGGUAAGUCAGUGGUGAAAUCCCCGAGCUUAACUUGGGAACUGCCGUUGAUACUAUCAGUCUUGAAUACCGUGGAGGUGAGCGGAAUAUGUCAUGUAGCGGUGAAAUGCUUAGAUAUGACAUAGAACACCAAUUGCGAAGGCAGCUCGCUACACGAAUAUUGACGCUGAGGCACGAAAGCGUGGGGAGCAAACAGG
rnacentral:rRNA from 1 species